CCAGACUCCUACGGGAGGCAGCAGUGGGGGAUAUUGCACAAUGGGGGCAACCCUGAUGCAGCGACGCCGCGUGAGCGAUGGAGUACUUCGGUAUGUAAAGCUCUGUCAGCAGGGAAGAGAAUGACGGUACCUGACCAAGAAGCCCCGGCUAACUACGUGCCAGCAGCCGCGGUAAUACGUAGGGGGCAAGCGUUAUCCGGAUUUACUGGGUGUAAAGGGAGCGUAGGCGGUUUAGCAAGUCAGAAGUGAAAGCCCGGGGCUCAACUCCGGGACUGCUUUUGAAACUGUUGAACUAGAUUGCAGGAGAGGUAAGUGGAAUUCCUAGUGUAGCGGUGAAAUGCGUAGAUAUUAGGAGGAACACCAGUGGCGAAGGCGUCUUACUGGACCGAAACUGACGUUGAGGCUCGAAAGCGUGGGGAGCAAACAGGAUUAGAUACCCUCGUACC
rnacentral:rRNA from 1 species